GAGUUUGAUCAUGGCUCAGAUUGAACGCUGGCGGCAUGCCUUACACAUGCAAGUCGAACGGCAGCACGGGAGCAAUCCUGGUGGCGAGUGGCGAACGGGUGAGUAAUAUAUCGGAACGUGCUCAGUCGUGGGGGAUAACGUAGCGAAAGCUACGCUAAUACCGCAUACGAUCUACGGAUGAAAGCGGGGGACUCGCAAGAGCCUCGCGCGAUUGGAGCGGCCGAUAUCAGAUUAGGUUGUUGGUGAGGUAAAAGCUCACCAAGCCUGCGAUCUGUAGCUGGUCUGAGAGGACGACCAGCCACACUGGAACU
rnacentral:rRNA from 1 species